rnacentral:rRNA from 1 species
GACGAACGCUGGCGGCGUGCCUAAUACAUGCAAGUAGAACGCAGUUGCGAACGGGUGAGUAACGCGUAGGUAACUGCCUCAUAGCGGGGGAUAACUAUUGGAAACGAUAGCUAAUACCGCAUACUGUGAGAUGGACCUGCGUUGUAUUAGCUAGUUGGUGAGGUAAAGGCUCACCAAGGCGACGGUCCAUAGCCGGCCUGGGAGGGUGAUCGGCCACACUGGGACUGAGACACGGCCCCGACCCCUACGGGCAGCAGCAGUAGGGAAUCUUCGGAAAUGGACGGAAGUCUUACCGCGCAACGCCGCGUUAGUGAAGAAGGUUUUCGGAUCGUAAAGGUCUGUUGUUCGAGAAGCGGUACCUACCCAGAAAGGGCCGGCUAACUACGUGCCAGCAGCCGCGGUAAUUC